UGUUUUCAUUUUUCCUGGUAAUGCUAUUACCCCUGGAACAAUGGAUUAAUGUUCUAUCUGACCCUGGUUACCUCUAUACAACCGUGUCAUAGACAUAGACCACCCUACCAAUUUCUGACUAUUUUUUUUUGUACGGUCAAGUCUGUAUAGUCUCUGUCCAAUGCUUGUCUUGUGUUCCCUAUACUGUAUGUAAUGUACAAUGAUUGAAGAAUAAACUGUUAAACUUGUAUUGGCAUGCCACUGCUUUGUAUCAAAGGAAGUUCCUCGUACAUUGUUAUAAAGUGUUUUGAUUUUGAUUAUUCUCACUUCAAUUCCAGAGCUUGCAUGAGCAGUUAAAAACAGGCAGUAAGAAGUCCAGCAGGAUGUACCUGUGGGAGAAUCCUGCGGCAUCCCUGAAUCUCAAACAGAGUUUGAAGCCAACUAUGCUUCAUUUUGAUGAGGACCAGGUCAUCAUCAGAAUUUUGGCGAAGUGUGAUCGCUUCAGCUGCUAUCAGGCAGAAUGUGCUAUUGCCAGUGGAAUUAAAUUCACAAAUAAAGGCUGAAGACGUG